rnacentral:rRNA from 1 species
CCCUUAGAUGUUCCGGGCCGCACGCGCGCUACACUGAUGCAUUCAACGAGCCUAUCCUUGACCGACAGGUCCGGGUAAUCUUUGAAUCUGCAUCGUGACGGGGAUAGAUUAUUGCAAUUAUUAAUCUUCAACGAGGAAUGCCUAGUAGGCGCAAGUCAUCAGCUUGCGUCGAUUACGUCCCUGCCCUUUGUACACACCGCCCGUCGCUCCUACCGAUUGGGUGUGCUGGUGAAAUGUUCGGAUCGGCCGUUUGUCGCGGUUUCCGCGUCAUGUGGCUGAGAAGUUCAUUAAACCCUCCCACCGAGAGGAAGGAGAAGUCGUAACA